GCCUACGAUCAUACCACGUUGAAUACACCGGUUCUCGUCCGAUCACCGAAGUUAAGCAGCGUCAGGCUCGGUUAGUACUUGGAUGGGAGACCGCCUGGGAAUACCAAGUGUUGUAGGCU
rnacentral:rRNA from 1 species